rnacentral:tRNA from 1 species
GGUUUUAUAUUUUAUAAUAAAAUAUUAAAUUGCAAAUUUAAAGAGGGUUGGUUUAACCUAAAACUU